GGAAGNGUGCCUGAAAGCUAAGGAUCUCC
rnacentral:tRNA from 1 species